rnacentral:rRNA from 1 species
GACGAACGCUGGCGGCGUGCCUAAUACAUGCAAGUCGAACGCUUCUUUCCUCCCGAGUGCUUGCACUCAAUUGGAAAGAGGAGUGGUGGACGGGUGAGUAACACGUGGGUAACCUACCCAUCAGAGGGGGAUAACACUUGGAAACAGGUGCUAAUACCGCAUAACAGUUUAUGCCGCAUGGCAUAAGAGUGAAAGGCGCUUUCGGGUGUCGCUGAUGGAUGGACCCGCGGUGCAUUAGCUAGUUGGUGAGGUAACGGCUCACCAAGGCCACGAUGCAUAGCCGACCUGAGAGGGUGAUCGGCCACACUGGGACUGAGACACGGCCCAGACUCCUACGGGAGGCAGCAGUAGGGAAUCUUCGGCAAUGGACGAAAGUCUGACCGAGCAACGCCGCGUGAGUGAAGAAGGUUUUCGGAUCGUAAAACUCUGUUGUUAGAGAAGAACAAGGACGUUAGUAACUGAACGUCCCCUGACGGUAUCUAACCAGAAAGCCACGGCUAACUACGUG